rnacentral:rRNA from 1 species
AUGGCCGUCACGUUCUCCGACCUCCACACCGCCGACGGGCUCAAGGCCCUCGAGGCGCACCUCGCCGGCAAGACCUACAUCUCCGGCGAUGGGAUCACCAAGGACGACGUCAAGGUGUUCGCGGCGGUGCCCGUGAAGCCCAGCGCCGAGUUCCCGAACGCUGCCCGCUGGUACGACACCGUCGCCGCGGCUGUUGCUUCAAGGUUCCCUGGCCAGUCCUCUGGGGUGAGUGCAUCAUCGGCUCCUGCUGCAGCUGCUCCUGCCGCUUCCAAGGAUGAAGAUGACGAUGAUGACAUGGAUCUGUUUGGCGAUGAGACCGAGGAGGACAAGAAAGCUGCAGCUGAGCGUGAGGCUGCCAAGCCUGCAAAGAAGAAAGAAAGUGGCAAAUCCUCCGUCCUCAUGGACAUCAAGCCAUGGGACGAUGAGACUGACAUGAAGAAGUUGGAGGAGGCUGUCCGCAGUGUUCAAAUGGAGGGUCUCACCUGGGGUGCAUCUAAGCUUAUGCCUGUGGGUUAUGGCAUCAAGAAGCUCCAGAUCAUGCUGACGAUCAUCGAUGACCUUGUGUCCGUCGACACUCUUAUUGAGGAAGUGCUUUGCGAGGCGCCCAUCAACGAAUAUGUCCAGUCGUGUGACAUCGUUGCCUUCAACAAGAUCUAG